rnacentral:tRNA from 1 species
AGGUUUAGCUCAGCUGGGAGAGCAUCUGCCUUACAAGCAGAGGGUCAGCGGUUCGAUCCCGUGAAGCU